rnacentral:rRNA from 1 species
GGAUUAGAUACCCUGGUAGUCCACGCUGUAAACGAUGGGUACUAGUUGUUGCGGGUAUUGACCCCCGCAGUGCCGAAGCUAACGCGUUAAGUACCCCGCCUGGGAAGUACGGUCGCAAGAUUAAAACUCAAAGGAAUUGACGGGGGCCCGCACAAGCGGUGGAGCAUGUGGUUUAAUUCGAUGCAACGCGAAGAACCUUACCUGGUUUUGACAUCCUCGGACGACCCUAGAGAUAGGGUUUCCCCUUCGGGGGCCGGGAGACAGGUGCUGCAUGGCUGUCGUCAGCUCGUGCCG